GAUAAACGCUGGCGGCGUGCCUAAUACAUGCAAGUCGAGCGAACAGACGAGGAGCUUGCUCCUCUGAUGUUAGCGGCGGACGGGUGAGUAACACGUGGAUAACCUACCUAUAAGACUGGGAUAACUUCGGGAAACCGGAGCUAAUACCGGAUAACAUGUUGAACCGCAUGGUUCAACAGUGAAAGACGGUCUUGCUGUCACUUAUAGAUGGAUCCGCGCCGCAUUAGCUAGUUGGUAAGGUAACGGCUUACCAAGGCAACGAUGCGUAGCCGACCUGAGAGGGUGAUCGGCCACACUGGAACUGAGACACGGUCCAGACUCCUACGGGAGGCAGCAGUAGGGAAUCUUCCGCAAAGGGCGAAAGCCUGACGGAGCAACGCCGCGUGAGUGAAGAAGGUCUUCGGAUCGUAAAACUCUGUUAUUAGGGAAGAACAAAUGUGUAAGUAACUAUGCACGUCUUGACGGUACCUAAUCAGAAAGCCACGGCUAACUACGUG
rnacentral:rRNA from 1 species